UUUGUGCUUUUGAUAUUUGCACGAUCUCCAGCAAAAGAGUAAUGAUAAUAACUCUCGUCUCGCCCAUGAUGUAGUGUUAUUGUCCCACAUGACGAAACGCCACUGCUAUUUGUUAUAUUGAUUUCAGCUCAGGCCCAGGUGGUCGAUAUUCUGUGAUACUUCGACUGUAGUGAGAGAUAUGUGUCAGAGAGAGAGAGAGAGAGAGAGAGAGAGAGAGAGAGAGAGACUGCAGCAAAUAAGGGAGAUUGGUUCAUUAUAACCAGGCAUCACAACAGUAAAGGCCAUCGACGCAGAGAGAGAGAGAGAGAGAGAGAGAGAGAGAGAGAGAGAGAGAGAGAGAGAGAGGAGCACUUCCCCUUUAUUCCGACGAGGCUGUGGCGUUCAUGAGAAUGGGACACUAAGCAUUCUGGGUUAAGGUGCCCCAUGCCAAUGCGGACUCUUGCUUGUGUAGCAGCCCGUUACCAAAUUGAAAUAGCGUAAAACAGUGUAGUGGAGUGGGCUGUUAGAGCUACAGUGGAUCACAAUAAGACCUUAGGGUUUACUUGGCGGGUAGCAAACCUUGUGGCUGCUGGAAUGAAAUGGCUGAAGGCAUAGGCUUUUGGAGUACUGCGUUGAAGAUCUGUUGGACAUGAACAGCUGAGGAUGGCAUCAAUCUUUCUUGUAAGACCUCCUUCAGGUCUUCAUACUAGGUGGACAUCGGUGCCCCUAACAUCCAGCCACUGUUUGCUGGGGGAAGAGGUAGUCCAGCAUGGCGAUGAGAACGUAAUCUGCCUUCGUCAACGAUGACUGUACACCCUUGAUUCGGAGUGUGACUUUGGCUCGACGGAACAAAGUGUAGGCAUUAGUUGGUGUAAAGGUUGGAAGUUUGACUUGGCCGAUGGUACUGGCAGAAGUGGCAGAAAGGGAUGGUGAUGUUUCAUCAUAGGAAGUUUUGGACGUCUUUGCUGGGUGUUGGUGUGGUGGGGUCACCACUUUAACAGGAGUUGAUCAAGACAAGAGAUAUGAUCUUGAAAUGAUACUUUAUUAAUGAACCACAGCAGUAUUUACAUGAAUUGUUGACCAAUCAGUGGUCAGGAAACUUACACAGUAACUAAUGGACCAAUCAUGUACAAUUAUUUGACAUCAGCCUUUAUGGCUCCUAUAUAGAUGGAAAUCAGGUGUGCUCUCUGUUGGUACCACUGGUGCAUUGGUAUGUGAAUUGUUGUGAGAAUCAUGGAAUUUGGUGAUGUAUUGUCUGAAGCUGACGAUGACCUAUCGCUUGCGGCAUGAGAAAUGCAGGCUUUAGAGUAUUGGCACAGCUUCUUUAUUUAGUUACCAUCUUGAUUAAAGCCUUGUAUCCAAAAAGGGCAACCAAAUCAAGAAGAGGUCAUUGUGGCUAUCAACAAUAAUAUUUGAUGAAAGAGACCAAUAGAAUCUACAACUACAUGCAUACAUAUUCCAGCUUUCAACCUUUUCAUUUUUGAAGCUAUUAGCCUCAAAAGACAAUCCCUUUCCGUUUCUCAGUAUGGUUUUUAUGCAAGGAAUGAUGAUGCUGGUACCAUCCUUCCCAAUUUAAUUGUCACAAAAGACUUACAGAACACAGUGUACAGAUCGGCAUUUAUUGGCAAGUAUCCAUCCACUAACAGGCCAUACACAACUAGAGCAGGCUAGUGUCUAACUAGAUUCCUGCUUAAGCACGUUUUUCAUGAGGGUGGCCCUUUGUCAGGCAACCCAAAAUUCCAUUUAAGAACCGAGUUGAGAUAGAAAAAUAAUGUUUACUAGCAAAGCAACCCUAAGGUGAUCAGUGCUCAUCUGCCGCCCUUCUCGAAAUGAGAGCCCUCGCCUUUCUUCCUCCUGCAGCAGAUGGUUUUCCCAAAUCAAUUAAUAUCCUCAAGGACCUCUGUCUGCAGCACCUGCCAAUGUUGGGAAGGGCAGCACUCAACAAUAUCAAAGACACAGGUGACAAUACCCUUGCCACCCUAGCAGACAAUCUGACGGAUGCCCACACAGCUGCAAACCGCCACCAUGCCCACAACUUUGCUGUCCAUCGAGGAAUGUCCAACCCUUCUGCAACAGAUGACUUUACUAACACCAAUGAGGCUUCCAUGGCUGUCACACCUUUGCAAACUUCCAGGACAAACCUUCACCGCCCACCCCGCCAUCAGAAACCCAAGGAUGCUGACCACACAUAGUAGCAAUCACUGCCGUUUCAGCUUUGCCAAUACUACAGAACAUUCGACCUUGCCACCAAGAACAGCCUCCCAGGAUGACCAUGGCCAAAAAAUGCAUGAAAUGACUACCUCCCCUCGUGGUUGCCGUAUCAAGUGCGUAUCCCUCAAUCAGGGCUAUAGUAAUGUACCUAAAUCUAUCCAUAAUCUUGACACAUCCAGGCACGUGUUCUAUCAGCCCAUCUGUGUUUUUUAUCCUUUGUUCCACCACAGAUACUCAUUUUUUGGUUGACAGUCUUGCCAUUCCCUUCUGGCUGUAUCCAAUCAUCCAACCAAAUACCCAUAGCCACCCAAAGCUUACCUUCAGUCAGAAGCAUCUUGCCCUUAACCUCAGUGACAGAAAGUACCUCUGGCAGUUAUUGGUUGCAGACUUCUCAAUACCUCACUUCAGGGCAGAUUUCCUGGUACACCACCAACUGCUUGUGGACGUCGCCAACAGGUGCGUCUUUGAUGCCACCAAUCUCUCCAUGAUGCCCAUCGAUGCAGUCCCCGCAGAACUCGCCCUCCAUAUCACCGAUUCCAAAGAUGAGUUUGCCUAUCUGCUCCCCUCAUACCCAGAUAUCUUCAAACUAGAAUUACGACAUUCUAAUCAAAUCACUGCGAACCAUGGUAUUUUGCUCUGUAUUAAAACCUCGGGUCCACCUGUACACCCUUGUUUCUGACCUCUACAACUCGAAAAACUUGCGCCGCUGCAAACAAAAUCUUCACAGAAAUGGAGAAGAUGGGUGUGUGUCAAAAGGCAUCCAUCCAGUCCUUGAGCAUCUCCUCUCCACAUAGUAAUAAAAAAGGACGGCACCCUUCACCCAUGCGGGGACUACAGAAGGCUGAAUGUGAUCACCAAGGCUGACCACUGCCCCCUCCUUAACAUCACAGACAUAACCACCUUCCUGUGCAGUGUAAAAAAUUUCUCAAAGCUGGACUUACUCGAAGGUUAUUUCCAGGUCCCCAUGAAUCCCAAAGACAUUCUGAAGACUGCCAUCACAACACCCUUCGGCACCUUCACCUUCAAUUGCUCUUGCUUUGGCCUCCACAAUGCAGGAACUACUUUUCAAUGAUUGAUGGACAACAUCAUGGGAGACCUUCCCUUCUGCAUCUGUUACAUCAGCGAUAUUUUAAUCUCCUCGACAUCACAGGAGGAGCACCUCCAAUACUUGCAUAUUGUCUUCCAAUGCCUGCAAGAAAAGGGCCUUGUUAUGCGACAACAAAUACUCCUUCACCACCAAGAGGGUAGAAUUCUUGGGGCACCUCAUAACCCGAAAAGGUUGCUGCCAUCAGGAAGUUCCCCGCCCUUAUCACCACCAAGGGUCUACUAGAAUUCCUUGGAAUGGUAAUUUAUUAUCAUCUAUUUUUGCCCAGCAUCCCCUCAACUUUGGCCCCAAGCUACGAAGCCCUCGAGGGCAAUCCCAAGGCCCUCACCUGGGGACCCUCGUAAUGAGCCACCUUCACCUCUGCCAGAAACACCUUCACCAAGGCCCUACACCAGCGACGUGGCUAUAGGAGCUGUCUUGGAACAGAUCAUCAUGGCCAUCCUCAACCCCUUGCUUUUGCUCUUGGCAGCAUAGCUCGCUAUUGAACACUUCCAACAUGUUUUGGCGGCCAUGCCUUCCACCCUUCAAACUAACCACCCGCCACUAGUGCAUUCAAUAAACCACCUGUCCGAUGCCUGGUCACCACAUCAGUGCUGCCACCUGUCAGCCAUCACUGAAUUCAACUGCACCCUUUGUCACAUCCCUGGGAAACACAACCCCAUUGCUGACGCCCACUCCAGAAUCUCCAUCGACGCAGUACACCUCAAUAUCGAUUACAAGCAGCUGGCAGACAAGUAACAGCGGAACCCAUCCACCUAAACAACAAUAGCCCUACCUCCAUCCUGUGAUAUCAGCACCAGCCGCCCACACCCAUGGAUCUCACAGUUACUUAGACGUCAUGUGUUCGACAUCAUCCACAGUCUGGCACACCCUUCAGGACGAUCUAUGCCACCCUCCUGAAAAAGUGCUUCAUCUGGCAUGGCAUAUCAAAAGACACAAAGGCAUGGGCCCGUGAAUGUUCUGCCUGCCAACUCUCCAAAAUCCAGUGUCACACAAAUUCAGAUGUAGCUUCCUUUCAUCAACCGCAAUGCCAUUUUAUCCAUGUCCACAUCGACAUUGUAGGACCUAUCCCACUCUCUGAAGGGCAGCGUUACCUACUCAUAAUGGUCUACUGCUUGACAAGAUGGCCCGUAGUCGCCCUUGUGACAGAUGCAUCGGCAGCAGCAUGUGCCAGUGCUUUCCUCUCAUCAUGGGUUUCCAGAUUUGGCAUACCCGAUCACAUCACCUCCAACAGAGGCACUAUGUUCAUGUCACAGCUCUGGACAUCCCUAAACUGCUUCCUCAGCACCCAGUUAUAUCACACAACCGCUUACCAUCCCGAGUCCAAUGGCAUGAUCGAGAGGUUCCAUCUCGCCUUGAAAGCAGACUUCAUGUCUCAUGGUAACUCCUCAACCUGGUAUUCGCAGCUUCCAUGGGUCAUCCUCGGCCUUCAGACCACGCCUAAAGAGGUCCUUGACCUGUCAGCAGCCAAGUUGGUGUAUGGUGAUCUGCUUGUGAUACCUGGUGAAUUCUUCCCCGAUGAUAACACCUCACCUGACAUCAUCGGAAUCCAGACCAUUGUCGGAAAAUUCGCCUCUUGCUGCCCAUUCUACAAGUCAAACAAGAAGACCUUUAUCCCAUAGGAUCUACACAAGGCAACACAUGUUUUCAUCAGAACCAAUGCUGUUCAUCUGACUUUGACCCAGCCUUACACUGGCCCCCACUGCACGAUCGAUUGGGUUACAAUCAGUUGCCUGAAACCAGCAUGUUUACCCGACCAUAUUACACCUCCAGUCCAGUUUUCAAGGACGGGACACCCUCUGAAACGCCGUGAUCAACUCUUGCAGGGGUUGGGUAUUAUGCCAGCACUCUAAAAGCCUGUGUUUCUCAUGCUGCAAGUGACAGGUCGUCACCAGCUUCAGACAAUACGUCGCCAAAUUCCGUGAUUCUGACGAUACCAGUGGUAUGAACAGAGAGUUCACUAGAUUUUCCUCUAUAUUGGAGCCAUAAAAGCUAAUUUUAAACUAUUGUACAUGAUUGGUCCGUUAGUUACUGUGCAAGUGUCCUGGCUGCAGAUUGGUCAGCAAUUCAUAUAAAUACUUCUGUAAUUCAUUUAUAAAGUAUCAUUUCAAGAUCAUACCUUUUGUCUUAAUCAACUCCACCUGAAAAGCCUUUUCCAUCUACUGUGGAAUUAGAAUCCAGUCAUUUGUAAGUAUGACAAUAGCUUGGCUCACCAUACUAUUAGUAUGUGUCUCUAAUUGCCCCCAAGGAAGGAAAUGGCAUCUUACUUCUUAAUACACACACACACACACAC